AAGAGCCGUUAUAUAAUGCCAAAAAAAAGUGAAAAUUAAUGAGGCAUUUAAGGUUAGUUUAGUAAAGUUAUACAUUUGGCAUUUAGUUAUAAAAUUCAAAAUUUAAAACUGUGGGGGAUUUUUGUCGCUGAGAAAACUGAUUUGACACGUAAUCGGUGGGUUCAAUACUUCAAUUUCUCGAGUGAGUUGUUGUUUACUAUAUUUAUAAGAGCCAAAAAUCCGUCUUACACGUGGAAAUUUCUCAUUUAAAAAAAAAAUUAAAAAAAAGGUUGCGUUAUUUGAGAGAGCUUGAAUAGAAAGCUGAGCCUGAAAGCGAGGUGCGUGAAUCUGAGGCGAAAAAAGAUCAGACGGUCAGAAGAGGGUGUGGAAAAAAGAAGAAAGAGAAAAAGUAAUCAAAUCUAAUGGCUGAGAGAGUUGCGUCGGCAUAAAGCCACGCUGAAACCUCAAAUUGAAAAAGCCCAUAUAAGCCCGAGCUCAUCACCGUCUACUCCGUCUCUCUCUCUCUCUCUCUCUCUCUCUCUCUCUCUCUCU
rnacentral:lncRNA from 1 species